rnacentral:rRNA from 1 species
CCUACGGGUGUCAUCCUUGCGGCAUCUUGGUCAAUGGGCGCGAGCCUGAACCAGCCAAGUAGCGUGAAGGAUGACUGCCCUACGGGUUGUAAACUUCUUUUAUAAAGGAAUAAAGUGAGGCACGUGUGCCUUUUUGUAUGUAUUUUAUGAAUAAGGAUCGGCUAACUCCGUGCCAGCAGCCGCGGUAAUACGGAGGAUCCGAGCGUUAUCCGGAUUUAUUGGGUUUAAAGGGAGCGUAGAUGGGUUGUUAAGUCAGUUGUGAAAGUUUGCGGCUCAACCGUAAAAUUGCAAUUGAUACUGGCAGCCUUGAGUACAGUUGAGGUAGGCGGAAUUCGUGGUGUAGCGGUGAAAUGCUUAGAUAUCACGAAGAACUCCGAUUGCGAAGGCAGCCUACUAAACUGCCACUGACAUUGAUGCUCGAAAGUGUGGGUAUCAAACAGGAUUAGAUACCCUGGUAGUC